AAACUCACGCAUGCAAUUGAUGAGGUGAAGUUGGUGGAAAAUAGUUCCAAUUACGGAACAGGAAAUGUUACAAGAAGGUGGAGAAUAUAUAGCAGAUUUUUGUAGCGGUUACAAACUGUUUUUUGGAAAUAUUGUUCAGCAGAAUGUGCACCAUUCAGAGACUCGUAUAAAAAGAGCAGUUUCGAAGAGCAAAUGCAAAGCGUUUUGUUUUCACUGUUCUGUUCGAAGAAGAAUUUGAGAGCUUACGGGAAAAUGUGGAAGUUUGUUUCUCUAUCUUGCGACAUUUCUUCAUAUACAUUUACCACUUGUACACGAUAAAAAAUAGUAGUGUAUGCUGUGUUUAUAAAGAAACGCAAUAAACUGUUUCAGAAAAUUGAUCGCCCUGAAGAUCAUAAAAAACAUUUCAUUAAAAUCAAAUAUGUCAAUAAAGAUUUUGAUUUUGUAAAUAUUGCCGGUAUUUUUAAUAAACUGUUAACACAGA